rnacentral:tmRNA from 1 species
GGGGCUGAUAUUGGAUUCGACAAAAUUUUUGAAAACUAUUAGUUCAUGCCGAGGUUCGGUUGCCUCGAUAAAAACCGAAAAUUUAAUAAAUGCAAAACAAGAACAAUACGCUUUAGCAGCUUAAUAAACUAUUAAAGUCCUUUUUUUAUUCUUAUUUAUUCUUUUAAAAGAAUAAAAUAUUUAAAGGUUAAAAAAAAGAAAUCCAAUAUAGGAAUUUCUCAUAUCUUAUAUGGAAAAAAAAUUGAGAUAGGUAUUUAAAAAAGUAUUGUCUUUUAUACUAAAAUACUAAAAAAAAUAAAAGAAUAAGCAUGUAAUACUAUAGUUGUAAAUAUUUUGGACGCGGGUUCGAAUCCCGCCAGCUCCAA